GGUACUGCUAUGGAACCAACAGCAAGGGCAACAUUCGAGAAAAAAUUGGUGCCAAAGUAACCCAGGUUGGCGUUGUGAUUCACCCCUGUCAGCCAUGGCUUUGUGCAAGUCCCGAUGGCCUUUUCCAAACAACCAGUGGUGUCGUUUUGCUUGAAAUCAAGUGCCCCUACAGUCGUAAAGAUGACAUAAUCAUAGAUCAUGCUCUGUGCGAAAGCUACGUUAGCUAUGUGACAUAUCAUGAUGGAAUGCUUCAGUUGCCUCGCAGCCACCCAUAUUAUUCACAGGUUCAGGUUGCCAUGUAUGUCACUAACACUACAGAAUGUUUCUUUUUUGUUUAUACAAGCAAGCAAGAUAUUACUAUAGUUGUUGACAGAGAUGAAGACUUCCUUGCUCGAAACAUUCCUCGGUUGGAGGCGUUUUAUUAUUCAUACUACAUUAAGCAGCUCCUGCGUUAGACCAGAUUCCUGCUUGCAGGAAGUAAGUUUGCUCUUAAAGGUACAUACAGCUGCUCAGCACAUGAAAUCAGAUAACCCUGCUUAUGGAAUGAUUCCCUAUCAUAGUGGCUAAAACAAGCCAUGUUUCUCUCAUUAAAUUUGGAAAUUUACUUUUUUAACCUAUCACUAAAAGUCGCGAAAAAUGACCUUUCGCGCACCACAUGGCACACACAUGAAGCUGCAUAAGAGCUCUGCCACGUGACCUUCUACUAGUGUACGCGGUUACUGGUCUUUUUAUUAGUACUGAAAUGCAGUAUACUUCCUAUUACGUGUUUUUCCUGACUUACAGUGUGCAGAUUUACUGAUUACAGUGUGCAGAGUUGGCCCACUUGUGGCAUAGUUGAUGUCAUAUUGUAUCUCAUAGGGGGGACCACAGAACUUGGGUUACUUGCAUGCAAAUUCGCGUGUGUACAAAAGCAUCUAUGUGUACCAUUAUGCAUGCCUUUUUUACCUUGUAGUACUCACAGAUUAAAGUGCCUGUGGUUUUCAGGCAGGUAAAGCACAAAUAAAAAACAGACAGCGGAAAGAAUGACAAAAUACAUUGUUAUUGCCAUACAUGCCUUACCAAAACGUGUUACUGUCUCGACCUUCCACUGUACCAGCUAGCUUGGAUACAGACCCUAGGUCUGUGUAAUAUAAAGGCUGAUUUGUAAAUUAUGCUGCACUUAUUAACAGCUCAAUUACCUACAGUAUGUUAGUAUCAAGGUUUCACUUCCAGUGAGUGACAAAGUGUUUUUCGAUUUCUGUGCCAAUUUAAAAUUAUAAUAGCUACUUAAAACAUGUACAGCAUCCUUGUUUCUAUCAAUAUAAAUCAUCGUCUUUUCCUUUGCACCAUUUCAUGACACAUUUUUUGCACUUGUUGGCCCUUUAAGGAAGUUGCUAGAGUGUUAAACACUGUUGAGCUACCUGAUGGCAAAAGCUGGUUUUAGUCUGAAAUCUUCCUCUGAAAUUGCCUGGCUUUCAGGAACUUGCAAGUGAACAGCAAUGCUUUAUUACCACCAAUUUCUUUGCUUAUUGUCGCUUUAUAACUGCAACAUGAAAGACUGCAUCAAAAAGAUCCCGAACGUCUGCCAUGGCUUUUACAUGUCCAUUCUGUCACUGAAGGAGUUGCAGUGAUUCUUUCAGUUGUAUCUGUAAGCUUGCACUGUAUUUCCUUAUUGAGAGCCUCUGCUGUUGCACAGUUGAGGCUAGUUCACAGUUGCAGUGUUUAAGCCAUUUUUGAUGCCUGUAGUGAAUGUAGCCUUGAGGCACUGUCGACCUGAUCACGUCUCCUUUAAUUUUAAUUGAUGUCUCCCAUGUUUUUGUGUGUGUUUGUAUGGUGGUUGAGAGCCACACCAUAGCUUCUUAGAUAUGUUUGCAAAUUUGUUCAGCCUAGUGCUGUCCCCUUGCUUUACAAUUUCUCAUCCAAGUUUAUAAUUUCAGAGUCGCAGAUAAAGCUGCUAGCUUUCCUGGUGACCUGGGCACUACUAUGUUAGCUGGCUAAAAUAUCACUGCUAUGAGCAGUUUCUUCAGUGUCAUACUGCGCUUAAUGUUCUAAAAAUAAAGCAUAGUAAUUUA